rnacentral:lncRNA from 1 species
AAAAAACUCCUCAGGAGGGACCUUGCUGUGAAGUUCUCAUUCACCGGGCUUAACUGCAAGCGCGAGAAGACCAAGGUCUGCUUUAGAGAGCACAACAUAUAUUCGGUUCUAAAAAGAAGUCUGAAUGAGACGACAUUUUGUCAAGCAAGUCGAGUUGCCGU